rnacentral:rRNA from 1 species
UGGCGGACGGGUGAGUAAUGUCUGGGAAACUGCCUGAUGGAGGGGGAUAACUACUGGAAACGGUAGCUAAUACCGCAUAACGUCGCAAGACCAAAGAGGGGGACCUUAGGGCCUCUUGCCAUCGGAUGUGCCCAGAUGGGAUUAGCUAGUAGGUGGGGUAACGGCUCACCUAGGCGACGAUCCCUAGCUGGUCUGGGAGGAUGACCAGCCACACUGGAACUGAGACACGGUCCAG